AUGAGCGACUGUCUCCAGGUAAAUGAUGUGAGUGUGUUUGCAUAUUGAUCAGAUGCUUCAGUGCUCUGAGAGUGUUUAUAGUGCUGUGAGUUUAACACUUCAUCACUGACACACACAACAAUCUUCAUCAACAUGACCUUCAUCAUCAUCUUCAUAUGGACUCUUUCAUACUGCUUUAUACUACAAGGGUGUAAAGCUCAGAUCACAGUGACUCAGACUCCUUCAGAGAAACCUGUCACACCAGGAGAAAAUGUAGUGAUGAGCUGUAAGUUUAGUUCUGCUCCAGCCUGCAGCCCACCCUGUGUGUCCUGGUACUUACAGAAACCUGGAGAAGCUCCUAAACUCCUGAUUUAUUAUACAAACCGCCUCCAGUCAGGAACUCCAUCUAGAUUCAGUGGCAGUGGAUCUGGGACUGAUUUAACUUUGACCAUCAGUGGAGUCCAGACUGAAGAUGCUGGACAUUAUUACUGUCAGAGUUACCACAGCAGUGGUUAUGUGUUCACACAGUGA